UUCACCAGGACGCAUAAAGCGAGGAGUCCCGCCCCUUCGCUCCUUAGACAGAUCCUGAGGAAGAAGACGGCAGCCGCUCCUUCAUUCACUGAGGCAAUGUAUUCAUCUUUACAGGAGGAAGAGGAAACAAGUGAAAUGAUGUUAUCCUUCGUGAAGCUGGCGGCCUGAGUCAUCUGAGAGACAUCUCUGGUGGAAAGGAAAGAGGACUGGGAGGAAAUGCAGCCAGUACAACUCAGACAAUAAAAUGAUUUGGAUGUGCCACUUCCCUAACAGAGACCUCCAAGUCAGACCGAGCCGCUCUGAAAGGAUUAUGUAACUGGAGCGUGCGGCUUUAGAAGUAAAACAGAACCUUUUGCUGUUUUGUCAACUUAUAAAUUGGAGUGAACGUACGCAACAGGCUGGCAGACAGGCUUUUGAAAUGCAACAUUUGAAAAAACGCGCAAUAUGCAGUGUUGUGAAAAAGUAUUUCACCCAUUGUAGACGUCCUUUAUGGCAUUUUAGGUCAUCUGGCAAAUAUUAAUGGAUAACCUGUGGAACCAUUUCAAAAUUUUGAUUUGAAGUCUGUUAAAUCAACAAUUAACAAUUAACUGGGAUUAAAUCCAUUUUAAUUAGAUCUUCGUUCAAUUUAAUCAGGCUUGAUUGCUGCCAGACCGGUAGAAACCAGAAAAUCCCUUGAGGUGGAUUCCAAAAAGG